rnacentral:misc_RNA from 1 species
UGCACGGCACCCAGUGCCAGCACCGCGGCCACCACUCCGAGAGUUCCAGAAGCCAUGUUUGACAUCUGCCGCCCCUACGUUGCCAUGCCGCACGAUCGCGGCUUUGGGAUUCAACGUGGUCCGCCCGGCUUUCGUUCCGGGCUCCGCAGCGCACCGCCGGAGAAAAAGUUUUGAGCGACCGGGAACGCUUUCGUGUGACGGGCGUCAUUCCCAAAGCCGGUCAAUCCCCCUGCCCCUAAUCGACCGGCUCACGGGGGUGUGGUCGUGGUGAUGCCGGCCGCACCCCUUUCUUUUUUGCGUAUUGGAAUGCGAUCACAAAAAAGCCGGAACACGGGAUGUCCCGCGUUCCGGCUUUUUAUUGCGGUGCCUCGUG